UCCAGAGGGGAGAUUAUGGUUAUUCCUUUGUUCGCAUCAUGAAAUAAAAUUUGAGUACUGUUGGUUCUUGGGGACAUUAUGUCAGAGGAUAAGUACAAUGAAGAAAAGAAAGGUGACCCAAUGGAAGAAGAAAAUGAAAGGCAUUAAGAAAAGUCUUACAGAAGAGCAUCUCUAUCUGGACUUCUGUCACCAAGCAGGAGGACACAUCUUUCCUCUUCAUACGUCUGUAACUUUAUUUUUAUUGUCGUACUGUGACUGCAGCCUCUUUAAAGUUUGCUUCGUCCUUACCAAAGAAGGUACAGAAAGUUCACUGCUAAGAAAGGCACUGUCCCAGGAUGUUGAAAUACAGAUUCUUUCAAAGGAAGACCUUCCACCCAUAGUGCAGAGUUGCUGUUUACCUGCAGUGGUAGAGCAGCCUGACAGCUUCUGUAGGGCAGGCCUUGCCGUUGUACUGAGACACAUCAUUCAGAAAUCAUAUGAAGCAGAUCCCUCGAAGAAGGACAUCUUGGAACUUCUGGGUUUUAAAAAGACUUGCUUGAAAGCCUGUGCUGAAGUUAGUCAAUGGACCAGGCUGUGUGAACUCACCAUCCCUUUGGCUAUUGAGAAUUUUGUCAGAGAGUCUUCUGACCAGCCGCCAACUAUCCCUGCAGAAAUACUUGAGUUAGAAAGAAAGCUGAGUGAACCUGUUCGAGUGCAUAAUGACGAUAAGCUCAGGAGGCAGAAGCUGAAAGGACAGAAGGCCGCCGGCACUGGGCCUCCCCACGCUCAGGGAAAAGCGAAGAACAAGAGCCUCACAGGGGAGAUCUCUGAAGACUUGGACUCACCCAAGAGUCUGGAGCUCAGCGUGGCCUUCUCGAGGCUUGCAGUGCGGGAGGAGCCGGUGCCUGCCAGCAGGGAGCCUGCUCACAUUAGGAAAGCCAAGGCCUCGGACCUGCCGCCUCUGGAGCACGUGUUUGCCGAAGGCCUGUACUUCACCUUGUCAGAUAUCGUGCUCUUGCCCUGUAUCCAUCACUUCCUGGUAAUUAUCUGCAAGAAAUCUUCUGAGAAACUAGUACAGUUCCCUCUUCUAACCUCGUGGUACCAGCGGAUUCAGGAAGUUCCGAGAGUAAAAACAGCAGCUUCGAAAUGUGGGAUUGAGUUUCUGCAUCUACCAGAGUUGUUGACCACCUCAACGGAGCAGCAUCUAAACUCCAGUGAGGUCCAAGGUCAAGAGGAACCAAAUGAGCCUUUAUUUAUAGGAGGACCGAGACCAACUAUGACCAAGUUAAUGGAAAAAGGCAUCGAAGUGCUGUUUUCUCCCCACCCUUGUCCUACUUGGACCCUUGAUUGGAAUAUUCUUCCUGCAGCAGUGAGCCCAAAGGAAGGUAAGAUGUCCAGUGACCGAGCUCUGAGGAAGCAGCAGCAGUUAAACAAUCUGGUAUAUGUGGUCAUCAGUCAGGCUAAGCCGGGUGACAGGAUCGUGGAUUUCUGCAGCGGCGGGGGCCAUGUUGGAAUUGUCCUUGCUCAUAUGCUGCCAUUAUGCCAGGUCAUAUUAAUAGAAAACAAGGAAUUGUCAUUAAUUCGUGCUAAAAAGAGAAGUGACGACCUGGGUUUAAGCAACAUUUGGUUCAUUCAAGCAAAUAUGGAGUAUUUUACAGGGAUGUUUAAUAUUGGGGUGGCACUGCAUGCUUGUGGAGUGGCAACAGACAUGGUGAUUGACCAUUGUGUCAAAACACGGGCUUCCUUUGUCACAUGCCCUUGCUGUUAUGGUUUCAUUCAGAACACCUCAAAGUUUAAUUUUCCAAAAAGUGAACAAUUCAAGAAUACUUUAUCAUACAAGGAACACAUGAUUCUGUGCAGGUUUGCAGAUCAGACAGCUGUCCAGCUGCCACCUCAACGAAGACUCAUAGGGAAGCAGUGCAUGUGCCUGGUGGAUCUGGAUCGAGCAAGAGCUGCCGAAGAACAUGGCUAUUCCGUUCAAGUGAUCUCCAUGGAGCCAGAGAGCUGCUCUCCCAAAAAUAACAUGAUCGUUGGAGUCCCCAUGUAGCAUGAGACACUCACCUUUGAUGUUUUGCCAUCAGUCUUCACAGUGAAGCCCAGUAGCAUUCAUGAGGUUCUUGGCACAGCUAGGAAACAGUAUCAGCCUACUACAUUCAGGAAGGAAAGCAACAGGAAAAUGUGGGAAGACUGCCUGCAAAGCAUCACAAAUGCUCUUAGAACCUGUGGCUCAAGACGUCCUUUCCCAACCAGAGAAAAAGAAGACACUGCCGCCACCUAUCAGAUGAAUAUAGUGAACAAAGAAAGUACCUGCAGGAAGCCAACAAUAGGAAGCAUUGGCCAAAACUCAGAAGGCUGAGUGAAUGAGAGGCAGGU